AGAGAGAGAGCGAGAGAGGGAGAGAGAGAGAGACGGAAAGAGAGGUAGAGAGCGAGAGGGAGAGAGAGAGAGGGAGAAAGAGAGAGGGAGAGAGAUUGAGAUGUUUGUCGACAUGUACAAAAUAAUCCCUGGGGGUGUUGCUGGAGUUUGACCGCACGCGAUGGUUUGCUUCAGGGCACGUGGUCAGAAGGAAUAAACCUGGCGUUAAUUAUUCAAUAUCUCUAAAAAAUGUAAAGAAUCCAGUUUACUGAAAGUGCUAUUAUUUUUGUUAACUACUGAAUUGCGUUUCAUACUUUUCAAAGUGAUUCCAUUAAUAUUAUUUUAUAAUAUUUCUGAGAGUAAAUGGCUCUCUUUUUUUUUAAGAGUGAUAAUUUUUUCAGAUGUGAGAGAAUAUUGCUCUGUUUCUGGGCAGCUUGUAACUAUUUGCCAGUCUAUGGAUGUUGGAGGUUUUGGUUUUCAUGUUGAGUCACCGCUGUUAGCUCGUAGCUAGUUCGUAGCUGUUCCCUUUACGACGUCACCCAGAACGAGCUGUCCAAUCAGCACAGACCGUGGCCUUUAGUUCCCGACAGUUCGACAUGUUCUCUUACCGGAACGCCUCUGUCAGCAGAUCUAUUUUAUCAUUUCCUCGGUUUGUUUUUUAGAACCAAAUCUCCCAAACCGAAACCGUCAAAGCGCUUCUGACUUUAGCCGUUAGCCGUUAGCCGUCGCCUGCGCCCCGAAAUGGCAGUUUAAUUCCGAAGUCCCCCCCCUCCAACCCCAAACCCCCCCCGCUGUUUCCGUGGCAACGAAGCAUGAGCGCGAGCACGUAGUGGCUUGGCGUCAUCGCUCCAGUACGCUCCCAGUAGCACACACACGGCGUCGGUGAUGAUGAUGUUGAUGACGAUGACGAUGAUUAUGCUACUUCCAGAUUUCACCCUGUGCCGAAGAGGUGGCGGAUAGAGCUUUGGCCGAGACCACGAGUUUGACUACAGCAUGCCAGUAAUGCAUGCAGUUUAAGAACAAUAAAGUUAUAUCCAGUAUAUGAUACAACAGGCGCCGAGGCACAUGAUUGUCAUGGUGACAGUUAAAUCCACGCCUUUGAGAUUUUGCCAUGAAAAACGAGAGGGGGAUUAUUAUAAUGCAUAGUGCAUUGUGUGGAUGGCAAACCUUCUCUAUAUAUCUAUCUUAUGUGUUAUCUACAGCGGUCGUCUAGACUGUGGUUUGGAAGGGAGUCGCUGCGCACUGCGGUGACGUAUGGACCGUUUGAUCUAUGGGAUUCAUAGUUAGCACAUAGUGUCAGAGGAUCUAUUCAUACAGGGAGUACCGCGUAUUGUCCUUUUUCCCGGGCUUACUUUGUAAGAAUUUAAUAUGUUUUGCAUCAAAAACAUGGACUGCAUUUUUUUCUUUUUUUUUCUUUACCACUGUACUGUUAAAAAUACCUGAGGACUAAUUUAAUAUAUUGAGACGAUGGAAUGCUUCCGCCUGUAAGGUUUAGAACCCUGUGUCUUUUAAUUAUCUAUUGAGAGGCUGUUAAGAGUCUAUUCAGAGUCUGUUAAGGUUCUGUUAAGGGAUUGUUAAUGGUCUAUUAAGAGUCUUUCAAAAGUCCCUUAAGAGUUUGUUAAGAGUCCCUAAAGACUCCAUUAGGAUUUUUAUUAUGCCGAGCGACACCUAUGAUACUGGUGUCCCGGCUCCUUGUCUUUUGUUUUGUAAGGGCAGGUCUUAAGUAUUUGUUUCCUUUUCCUGUUUCUGGAGCCAAACUGUCCAGUUGCCUAAUGUCUAGUUUAGCCUGUGGUGUUCAUUUGUCACCAACUCACCGUAAAAAAAAAAACUACAACAAUAACAAAAACUACAACACCCAGCACUGACUCCUUCCGUCCGCAGUAGCGAAGAAGGCAGGAUGGGUAGAGCUGUGUUGGUAGGACUAUCUCUCUCUCUGCUUUGUACUGUACAGCGGAACACAGCACUACAUAGCUUUAGACACUAGGGGCAGUAUACGACAAGAUACAACGAUACAAGACUGACCACAGCAGUAUGCAGUCUGCUGGCGUCACGUUGAAAUGUCACUACUGACCACUGGUCUAAACGACCCCUGAACCUUGACCCACGACCCCCGACCUAUAGCACCAUCAGCUGACACGCAGACAUGUAGAAUUCUGCUUGGAGGACUGGGGUACAGACACACACACACACACAUAGAAAUGAAUAUGCAUAACAUGUAUAAGUAUGUGCAGAAACAUAUACAAACACACACACACACAACCACAGAUACUUUCACACACGGCUAUGCAUGCACAAACACACUCACACACAUACACACACACAAACACACACAUAAGCACUCACAUACAGACACACACCCCCGCUAGCAUGCACAUGUACACACACGAGCUCUUCAACACACACAAGCACACACACACACACACAACUCUCACUAAAUUACUUACACGCACAGACAAGCAAUACCACAGACACACACACACACUUCCACACACACUUACAGACACACACACACACACACACACACACACACGCACACAAGCACUCACUCCCACAGGACCCUUGAGUUCUUUGUAGCCUUUUGUGAUGAUGCCUCAUUUUGUUUCUAGCAUAUCAAAAGUGUCCCAACUUGUAUUGCCUAUAAAUGCUGUAUAACCAUGUUAUUUAGGAUGUAUUACUUGUUCUGAUGUAGUUUUUCUUUCUACGCGUGGAUUUGCUGUCUUACUUUAGACGAUUCUCUCUUUCCAUCGAGGCAAGCGGAUCGAUGUUUUGUGUUUCAGUCCAAUUGAUGAAAAAAAAAAAACUACAACAAUGUUUUGCUUGAAAAUGGCACCAAUGUUGAAGCCGUAGGGACAUUGUAGAUAACGUUGGCCGUAGAAUAUUAACUAUUAGCCCGACUUGAACCGAGCAGUCCUGCCCCUGUGCCUGGUUGUUUCCAGCUCUUGUCCAGAGGAUGUUCAGAGCUCUACUUACGAAGAUGUUUAGAGUUCUAGUUCAGAUUAUAUCUAGAGCUCUGGACGGAGUGAUGUUUUGAUUGUAGUUAGGGUGAUUAGAGCUCUUUAAGAUAUGUAGUGUUCUAGUCCAGGUGAUGUUUAGAGCUCUAGUCAGGGUGAUGUUGAGGGCUUAAUUACAGAUGAUGUCGAGAGAGCUAGCCUAGUUCUGGUCUAGAGUUUUAAGAUGAUUGUAAGAGCUCAGUUAAAGAUGAUUACUAGAGCUCUAGUUAAGAUGAUGGUUAGAACUUUAGUGAGGGUGUUCAGAGCUCUAUUUAAGAUGCAGAUUAUAGGUCUCUAAAAUAGCAUUUAGAGGUCUAUUUAAGACUAUGCCAUAGAGCUCUAGAUCAGAUGAGGACUAAAGCUCUCUUUAAUAUGAUCUUUAGGGUAAGAUCAUAUCUAGGGUUCCGGUUGAGAUAAUGUUUAGAGCUCUAUUUAAGAUGGAGUCUAGGGCUCUAGUUCAGAUGAAGACUAGAUUUAUAUUUCCCAUCAUGUUUCGAGCUCUAUUGGAGAUGACGUGUAGAGCUCUGGUUUUGAUGAUGUUAAGCGAAGGGGGGGUGAGAACAGACCUCUGCGCACUGCUGGACUGUUCCCUUUUGGCACUCUGAAGUGUCACAGAUGUUUUUUGCCUUGUAAUGAAAACAUGUUACGUUUUUUUAUUUUUUUAUUUAUUUAUGUAGUUAUUUUGCAUUGCCAGGUAAGAGCUAUCUGUCAGAAGACCUCUGGAUGCAUAAAGAGUCUCCCUCCAAAAACGUUUCAUCCAUUUCAUAAAGAAUUCCAAGAAAAAGCCCCAAAUCCCAGAAUGCACCAGUUACUGCGGGAGUCCGCCUGGUCGUUGUGGGCAGUCAGUCCCUAUGAAGCCAACUAUUAACAAAGCCAUGAUGUGUGUGUGAACACCCCCAAACCCAUAAGAGGAUGAUGCUGUUUGGAAGGAGGCUCUUUUUAUGACCGGAGGAGGUUCCGGGCCCCAGUGGAACCAUGACAGCCUGGACCGGCCACACUGGUUCCAGGCGUUAUUCUAGAAAGUUCUUCAAAGGUGAAACCGUUUGGAAAAAGGGAAUGAGUUUAGCUCGCUGGGAUUUUCCUGAUUGUUAUGACAAAGUUCCACGUUCGCUCGUUAUUUAUUUUGAUUAUGAAUUAUUUAUUUAUUCAUGACUUUGUAUUAAAAGCUUUAAGUUCUGUAUAUUUUCCUGGGAAAGAUUACAUGAUUGUAUGUUUAUUGUAAAUAUAUUAAAUACUAUUUUUGUUUUUA